ensembl:lncRNA novel transcript, antisense to FNDC3A
GUUGUUAAAACCGGGCGAGGACUGCAGCCUCGAGUCCACCUCCCGACUGAACAGGUGGUUAACUCGCCCGGGGAGAGGAACUGCCAGCUCCCGCUUUCUGUUUCACCCGAGGGACCACGAACGCCGCCGCCGCCAUGCUUACUACGGAGCCGGGAGGAGGAGCCCGAAGUCGGCGCGCCGAGUGCGGCUGCGCGGGCCCCGCCGACGGAGCCCGCGGCCGGGACCCCGAACCCCCGCCUCGAGCCCGCCGCGCCGGGGCUCUCUCACCGGAACGCGAGUCCCCGCGGGGCCACCGGCGCGUGGCGGCUGAGCGGCCGCGUUUGGCUCCCGGAGCGCCCACACCCUCUCGGGCUUCCGGCUUUCUCCCGAGGCCCGGCUGCGCCUGGCUUGUGGUAGCAUCCGCUGUGGCCAGGCUCGGAGCUACACUCAGGAAAAGUGGAGUUAAUGGAGGUUCCUAGAGACACUCACACAAUUCUCAAUCCACAUUUCAAAAGGCUCCCCUGAGACGCACCCUGUCGGCCCCUUUCCGAAAGCACGCGAACUUAAGGCUGGCAGGUGCUUUAAAAGACACUCCUCCCAAGGACUAGGAAGCCUCUGAAAUGGGCUUGGAAGUUUCUAAUCCCAAAGACUUCGAACCCAGGAUCUGGAUAGCAAGCAAAAAUAUUUAGAUAUUUACUCAGUUGAAAACGUGGGGGGUGGCUUCGUGGUCUCUUCGCCAGCCAAAUCGCGUGGAAAACCACGACCUCAAUUUUUACAACAGCACGAAGACUUACAAGUGAGCGUAGCAGCGACUUCCUGGAACCUCAAACAAUGUGGGACGCUGCAAUAAUGCCUGAGGGCUUUUGACUUACAGUUGCCGCCGGAGACCUGGGGAGGGGGUAGUACUUGGGCCGGUGAGUCCAGCCUCAGGAACUGUCCUUUCAAAAAUGGUGAUGGAUGUAACAAGUUGCAUGUCUGGGCUUUAUUUCAGUGUAUUAAUUGUGCGAUCUUUUAAAAUAGCUGUAUUUUUAAAACUGUUUUACAGAAAUCUCUUUAAAAUGUGAUUAUUCUCUAUAUUCUUAAAGAAUACAAUGGCUAAUUAAAUCCUUUGUUGAUAACUGA